rnacentral:lncRNA from 1 species
ACUGCCUUAAAAUUGCAUGAUUCUUAAUGGCAUUCUCCUCAAAUAGUGUGUUUGUAUAAAUUCUGUUUUGUAACAAAAUAGUUUUUCAGGCAGUGCGUUUCUCUAGUCUAUAGCUUAUGCUAUAUUUUAUUAUAUUAAUUUCUAAUUAUUUGCCUUCUUAUGAAAACUACAGUGUAAAAUAGAGUAAUAAUCAAACACUGCUACAAACUGAGGUUUUCCAGAAAGGUGUUAAUUUGUAAAGAUUUUUAAAAUCAGUUAAUUUUCCUGGUAUUCCAUUAACUCACACUUUAAAAAAUGCAACAAACCUUUACAUUUCUAUUUUAUUAGAAGACAACUUGUUCCUAUUAAUAUAAGCAAAACUUUAUUUAUGUUUUACCGUUGCUUUAAAACUCUCAUGUAUGUUAUCUACAGAGAGGAUCAUUACAGAGACAGACUCUCCCGAGACAUGGGCAACACUGAUAGAAUAGAGAAUUUGAGAAAAAUCUGGGUCUUUCUAAAAACUGCUUUGUAAGUUACUUUUUCUUUAUGACUUCUGUAGAAUUUUGUUUACAUUUUCUUAUAGGGUGACCAAAUCUCCUUUCUUGCUAUAAUUAACAUUUAGUAAUUAUCUAGAAACGCACUGCUUGGUCAGAUUUAACCUGUUUAUUAUGGUGUCGUCUUUACUAUGUAAAUGUACUUUUAAAAAUCUUGUAAAUAACUGCAACUGUGUUUUUAGAUCUGCAUCUUUAAAACAGUUUACUUUAAUUCUUGUGUGUGUGUAUAUAUGAUAAAUGUACAUACAUGGACACUUGUUUAUAUGGUUAAUCCCAAACUACUUCUCAUGAAGCAUCUCCCUGUUGCUAAGCAUACUUUGCAUCUCUCCUUUUUGGUGGGUGGAGCCUUGUAUAUGUUGAAGAAUCAGAUUCAAUUUAUAAAAUAACAGAUGGAUUCCAGUAUGACAGCUGGCAGUGACUUAGUAGCAGUGCUAUGUUCAUCAUCACAAGUCAGGUUUUAAAAAGGAAUGUCUUGAGCAUUAAUUUUCAAAAUUAAUUCUUGUUUUUCUCCAUGUUGAGAAUUAGGCAUUAUUGGGAUGCUGCUAAUCUCCACAACCAUGCUACCGUGUGCUGUGGUCUCAUCAGAUCUUACAAGCUAAGCCAAGUCAGAUUGGGCCAGUCCUUUGACUGAGAAGCCUCUAAAAAUGAUCAGGUGUUACAGGAAGUGAUGGCAUUGAAUCAUCAGGCGCUCUUCUGAAUGGGUUCUGCGCCAGUGCCUCUUCACGGGUGGUGUGAUGGUUUUGUAUGUCUGAGUGGCUCCGAUCACUGAACAGUCAUUGGAGACCCCCUUACUUUGGUAGAUAGGGCCUAGGUGAUAUGGGUUGCCCCAUGUGCCUGCACCAACUAGUGCAACUCCACUCAACCAGAAAGGAGUCAGAAAGCCUCCCUAAAUUUCAUAUCUAAUUUCAAUUGGAUCCAUUGUUGAUUUUACAUCCUUACUCAGAGUUUCAUACUAUCAUACUUAGCUGCUGUGUUUUGGUAGCAGAUGAAAUCAACCCUAUAUUUUGUUGGAAAUUUAUGAAGCACUUUGAUUUCCUUUGGGAGCCAGGGUGCUUGAUGAAUUAAAGACAAUAUUGUUCAUAUCUUCUCAGGGUUGAAUAUACUCAUCUUUUGACUCUUUUAUGUAUUUGUCACUCUUCUCCUUCCUGGUUUUCAGGCAUGUGUGUAUGCUGAGGGAGGAGGAGGGAAUGGUUAUUUAAAUGCUAGCAAACCUUGUCCUUUUGGUGGGUGCUAUGGCUUAUUCAAUUUUUAUUUUUAUUAAUUUAGAUGAAGGUGCCAUCUAUUGCUGUGCAUACUUAUUCCACUAAAACUCAUAUAAUAAUUCCACCCCCCUCCAAAAAAGCUAAAGUGUUUAGAAAAUGUUCCCUAGACUUUCUAUAGGGAGGGAGGAGGAAGCUAUUACUGCUUAUUCUGUUUCUGGUACAUGUGGAAUUCUGCACAACUUUAGUAUGGCCCACACUGUCCUUUUUCUUUCUUCAAAGAGUGUUGCUUAUGCCUAAAUCUUUUUUUUUUUUCUUUUUAGUUGGCACACCCUGACUUGUGCCAUAUUUGUAAGUAAGAACUCAACCCUGUCCUUCUGUGUGUUUUCGCAGCCAUGCCCGGUUACGCUGUAUGUGCACCUGCAACAGGUGCACAUUUUGCAUCUGUCAGAACUUCCUCAACUCAGACUUGCUGCAAUCUGUAAAGAACAAAAUCUUCACUGCAGUUCUUAACAGGUUCUUAACUUUAUUUACUGGGUACCAGGCAUUCUGUUAAAAUACAAAAAAAAAAAGUGGAUAACUAUUUAUUAUACAGAUAUUCACUACAUACGCAACAAACCAACUGACACCCAACUAACUUCCACUAAAAUUCUCACUGUGACCACAAUGUUCAGUUUUUGAAACAACCAUAAUAAUGUUUUUAAGUUAAUAGGUAUAUUUCAAGGAUAUUUUUUGUUAAUUCCUUAGGAAAGUUAAAAUACCUUUCAUAUUAGAAGAUAAUAUGUGUAGGGAGAUUAAAAUCUUUUUGCUGUAAAUCCUAGAAAUAGAUUAGGACUUUUGUAGUAAUGAAAAGAGACAUUCAUCCCAAGUAAAAGAUUAUUUUGCUGUGCUCAGCUAAUAUUCAGAUAAUGUAUCUUAGCAAAACUAUACCAAUGUGAACAAUAUUUUGGUUUGAAAAAAUUCUCUAGUCUUGAAACCAUUUAUAAUUAUAAUCUACCUUUACUUAUUUUUUAAAAAGUACUUGGAAUGCUUAUUUGAAAAGAACAUGAUUUCUGGCAGUGAGGAUAAGAACCAGCUUUAAGGACUCAAAAGUAUGGAAAAGGGAAAAAAAGAGAUGUGAAGUAUUAUUUUUCAUAUCUUAUUAUUGAGCCAAAACAUGAAAUGUUCCUAUAAAAUAAUAUGCUUUUGAAAAGAAAAAGAGAAAAAAAAGGAUGUAUACAUUCCCUUAAAGCAAUGAACUUGAAAGGUUAUAUUCUUAUUCUGAUCAUGCUGCCUUUGUUCAAAUCAGUUUUAUUUUUUCUGAGCAUUUAAGAACCUAUAUAGUAUAUAUGUAUCUGGUUGUCAAAUUUAUAUGUGACAGGAUUAGGGUUUUGAAGUUACUUAUAUAUGUCAUUGAGAACUGGGCUUGAUUACGGUGGAUGAUCAAGCUAAAUACAGAUUUUGAUUAGAAAUGGGUCAUUUUUUUCCAUUAUUGAACACUUGCUAAAUAAUAGACUCCAGCUGGACCAAAUGAUCAUGGUUUAUGUCCACCAGCAAUAUAAUAGUGGUGUCUAUGAGAUGGUUACCUAUUUCUUAUGUGAGUCAGAAACUGGUUUUGAAGGCAUUUUAAAAGCAUUUCAGUGGUUUUUUGAGCACUACCAGCCCUGGAAUAAGAAUGCAGCCAUCUCAGGGACUGCUUUGAAGGGAUUACCACAUUGAUUUGUAAAGUUCUGCCUCUGUUCUUUGAGUGACACCUGUAAAGGAGUAACCCAGAUAGAGUCCCUCAUGAUGACUAGCUGAGAAAAAUGCAAGGCUAGUUCAAACCAAACAACAUUCAGGAGCUCCACUGUUGGGAAUCCUAGUGUUGGAAGAGAUUCUGGAAUUCAUCUGGCCUAACCUCCUGGUAGCAAGCCUUCCUGAGAGAGUACUGUUUAUUUGCUUAUGGCUUUUUUCUUUGGUGAGGGUUUUUGCUUUUGCUUUUAUUUUUUAAAACUAAAAUAUUUUCCCUAUAACUUUCUCUCCUUUAGUUUUAGUUCUGCCCUUUAGAACAACAUACGACUAUUCUACUCCCUCAUCAACAUAGCAAUCCUUCAGAUAUUGAAGACGAUCAUCAUGUCUCCCCUAAUUUUCUCUUCUCCAGGUAGAACAUCCCCAUUUCUUUCAGCCUUUCUAAAAAUUAGAUGAUGUAGUGACUUCAUCAUUCUUGGUUGGUCUCAUCUGAAAGCCCCUUAAGUUCUCAGAGUACUUCUUAAGUGGUGCCACCAAGGAUGGAAAGAUAACAGUGCUCCAGAUGUGGUCUGACUAGUCCAGAACAGUGGGCAGUCAUGUUCCACACUUAAGACAACACCUGUCCAGUGCAUGAAUUAACUUUUUAGUUGCCUACUGUCGACAUAGUAUUAUCUGGGGGUUAAUCGAAAUUAAAAAAAAAUUUUGUAUGAUGUGCUGUUAAAGCAGAUGUCCCUUCCUUUCUAAUUGUGUAUUUGAUCUUUGAACUUAAAUGCAGAUACAUAUGUAUCUCUAUUAAAUGUCAUAUUCUUUUUGAUCCAUUUGUUCUAGCUCAGUCAUUUCAAACAUUAUUUCUAUCAUUUGUCCCAUUAUAUAUAUUUUGUUAUUUGCAAAUUUGGUAGAUAUGUCAUAUCUUUCAAGUUAUUAAUAAAAAAUAAUGUCAAUUACCCAGAGGUUGGAGAGAGAGAGAAGUAAAGCAGCCAAGCCCUAUCAUACUCCAAUAGGCAACUCUUGCCAAUGACAGGUUCAGAUUCUUGGGGAAGGAAUUUUCAAUUAAAAAUAUGUUAUUAUCCAGCACAUAUUUUAUCUUGUCUUAUCAGAGAUUUUGGAAAGGAUUUUUCUAAAAUCAAUGUAAUUUUUGCCUCAUACUUCUGACCCACCAAUGUAGUAAUUGUAUCUAUAUACUAAGUAUUUGAUCUCUUAUUUUUUGUGCACCUAUCUUAGCUCCCAGUAAUUGCCCAUUACAAACUACAUAUCUUAUUAUUAAUUCUAGAUUGUCCAUGAUACUAGAUUGAUUCACUGUCUCCAUUUUUGGUGAUAUUUUUUUUUCUAGGAUGGUUUAAUCAGCUUCCAAAUGAAAUGAGUUAAGAUGUGUGUUAAAUUGAUGUACUUACUCAUAAAUUACUCAUAGUAAAUCCUCAAAGAGAAAUCAGUAUAUUUUGUCAUAUCUAUUUAUAUACUGGAAAUAAUUUAAUAGUCAUGUCAGCACACAUACUGAUAUCUCUGGUAAUCAAGAAUGAGAAGGAUGAAUAGGGAAACCAGUGUACUUUUCAAAGAACUCCUUCCUUAUCCCUGUUGGUAUAUCAGUCAUUUAUUUGAUGCAAGUACAGUGGAAUUUUAGGGGUUCUAUGUUGAAGUUACUUCCAGUGUUUGGAAAAAGAUAGGUAAUUAAGGUAGGUGGGUGGGGGUCAAAAACUCAGUUCCUGGAGGAUCCAAAUGGAUAAUGGAAAGGAAUGAAGGUAGCCAAAGUGGAAGAAACAAGGAAAGGUGGGGUCUGAGGCCCUGUCUAAAAGGCAGCACUGUUCACUGGUGGCCCUUAGUUGUACAGGCCCAGUGUUGCUAGGUUUUAUGAUUCUACAAAAGAUAAGAAAUCAAGAUUUUUAUAUGAAAUUUAAUAAUAUUUAAAGAAUAGCAAUUUAAAAAAGUACUAAUCAGAACAAAACAUGUUUAUAGGCUACUAGUUUGUAAUCUUAGUAUUAAGGCCUGGAAUCAAGAAAAUGAGCAAAAAAAGGGAAAAAGGGACAGCAAAUAAAUGAGAAUCUGCCUGUUCACCUCUAUCCCGUAGUUUAUUCCUUUCCCACACAAAAGUUCUUGAAUCAUGGGGUGAGAAAAAAACCUCCUUUCCCUAUUACUUGUCAGAUAUUGGCAGCCUUUGGUGGUUGGUCACUAUUGGUUUGCCAUGCUAGAUAUAUCUAAAUUCUGAAAAAGCAGAGGAAAUAUUUAAUUAAUUAAUUAAUUAAAAGUCAUUUAAGAUAUAUUUUACUUUGUUCCUACUUAACACUAAGUCUUGUAUCUUUGUUUCUGAAAAUCAGAACUUCCAUGCUUAGUAUUUGAUUUAGAAUUUACUGUAAAAGAUUAUAAAAGUUUUUUAUUUUUAUUUAAGCCAAAAACUUCUUUAAAUGUAUGAAAAGAGCUAGGCACAGCUGGGCACACCUGUAAUCUAGGCCACUCAGGAGGCUGAGGCAGGAGGAUUGCAAGUUUGAGGCUAGCCUCAGCAAUUUAGCAAGACCCUGUCUCAGAAAUUAAAGAGCUAGAGAUGUCGCUCAUUGGAAAAACACUCUUGGGUCCAAUCCCAGUAUUAACAAAAUUUUUAAAAAAGAAAAAAAAUAGGUAAAGAAUUAAAUUAAUAGACAAAUAUCAGUAGGUACAUUCUGGUCUCAAAUUAGUACAUUGUUUUAGUACAUUUUAUUUAAAUGUUCAUCACUGAGAUAGAAAUCACUACCAGAUACAAUACAUGUUUGAGGUCACAUUCUCCUAUCUUCUCGUACUCCACCUCUUCCCCGACCCCCAAUUCCUUGAUUUAUUCAUUUGGAAUAUUUCCAGUUCCUGCUCUGGAUAGUAACCUGCUAUGAAGUGGGGCAAAAUUUGAAAAUGAAGAUAGGUUACCUGCCUUUAUCUUUCUAAAUAUUGUAUCAUUUAAGAUAUUUCUUUUGAAUUUUAGUUACAUUUUUAGUGACUUUAGUCCAUCAUAUUGAAACUAACUGCUAUCGUCUGCUCAUAGUUUAGGCAGUUUCAGUGAGUAAAUUUCUGAAAACUUAGAUUUUUCUUCUUUUACCAGAAAAAAGAAAAAGAAAAGUAUUUGUUCUUGAGCUUUUUUACUGACACUACAUAUUUUAAUAGAAACUACUAAUAAAAAUGUUUUUCUUUCUGAUUUAAUUGAUUGUGUAUUCAACAUAUUAGUGUUAAAUCACACAUGGAUCAAUCUCACAUAACUUUGUUCUUUGGUAACUAUGGUCUCACCCUUAAAAUCUGUAUGGGUUUAUGUUUUUCUUUGGAAUAAUUUAUGAAUAACUAGAAUUGUUUUGAAUUUAAAUACAUUUGGAGGAUCAUUAACGUGGUCAGAUGAUUUUAAUCUUUGGGAAUAUUACUGGGGAAAAACAUCUUUUGAAUUUUAAUUUUUAAAUACUUUUAAAAUAUGAAAGUAUUAAACUGGUUGUGUAGGAAUGAGCUUGAUUGUUGGUUUGAACUACCCAGGAUAUCUAUUUAUUAAGUAUUUAUUAUUCUGACUUGAGAACACUUCUAUUUUGCAUGAGAAUGUUACUGUAUUGUAGUGUGCUAUGAAUUUUCCUUAGGCAUUCAUUUUCUUGUUUGUCUGUGGUACUUAGUCGCUUAGUUUUUUUUUGUUAACACUUUCAGUCUUUUUUCUAGCUAGGUUUCUAUGUAUAAUUCUCCUACUUCUCCUAAACUAUAAUCAAAUUUUUUAUUUUAUAAUUUAUUAUUUUGAUGUUAUUUCCUUUGAAGCAUAUUUUGAUUUUUAGGAUAUUUUUUUCAUUCCAUUUUAUUAUUUGCAUUAGCCAUAUAAAUUAUUUGUUCAUGUUAUUUCUUAAGUUCAAUAGUAGCAUUUUACUUUGGCAACUAAGAACAUAAUUCACACUAUUUAAAGAGACAAAGAUAUGAUGGAUAGCCAUCCUACCAUUGUAUUUUUACACUAUUUUUAAUGCAUUUUUAAAUUGACUAUACAUACAUUUAUUUUAAGCCACUCAUUAAUGAUUUACUUCAUUUACUCAUAUUCCUUUAAUAAUCACCCAACUUCCUCCUUUAUGUAGUUUAAACUCAUGUUAUUUCAUAUGGAAGCCCUUUUUUAAAAGAAAGAAUUUUACUAUCAUCAGACUAAAAUGAACUGCUUUUUUGUAGGAUUGCCUUCUGAAAAGGAUGGAUUCUUAGAAUCUUAGUGUUAGAUGUUGGGAUUCUUAGAAUCUUAGUGUUAGAUGUUCUUGGAAUAUCUGUUAUAGUAAAAUAACACAUUCAAGGAAGUGCUGUUUAGUUUCUUAUGAAACUUUUACAUUCCUUGUAUGGAAGUUCUUACAAGGUUGUUCUUUGUACACACAGUGAAAUUUAAAAUUAUACCAGAGUUUGUGUUAUACAUUCUAAGUAAAUAAGUAAGCUGCUACUGCUCAUAAUUUUUUAAAAAUUUGCCAUUUGGUUAGUGUAUUAAAGGGCUUAGGAAGGUAGAGUUUGCAUAAUUUUAUCUUCAAGUAUCUCUACUUAACAAUUAGAUAGUGGAGCAUUUCCUCUGUAUUUAUGAUCAUUUGUAAAUUUGGAUUUUUCUUCUGCUGAAUGAAGCAUUUCUUGAUACUGGCAUUUAUCUGUGUCCUUUCCCAAAGUACAACACUAUUUGGGCAUGCUCAGUUAACAGCUUGCUUAUGAUUGGAGUUGCAGUUCAUCUUUACUAUAUACCAUACAUCAACUUCUUAACCUAUUUUGAGAAAUAUUUUAUUAAAAUAUUUCAUGUCUUCCAGUUCAAUUAGGAGAAUUAUUAUUAGCAGGGCUGGGGAUAUAGCUCCCUGUAGAGCAGUUGCCUGUCAUGCACAGGGCCGAGUUCUAUCCCCAACAUUGAAUUGGGGGGGAAAAAAAAGGAAGAAAGAAAAAGGAAAAAAUACAUACAUACA